rnacentral:rRNA from 1 species
GAUGAACGCUGGCGGCGUGCCUAAUACAUGCAAGUCGAGCGAACAGAUGAGGAGCUUGCUCCUCUGACGUUAGCGGCGGACGGGUGAGUAACACGUGGAUAACCUACCUAUAAGACUGGGAUAACUACGGGAAACCGGAGCUAAUACCGGAUAAUAUAUUGAACCGCAUGGUUCAAUAGUGAAAGACGGUUUUGCUGUCACUUAUAGAUGGAUCCGCGCCGCAUUAGCUAGUUGGUAAGGUAACGGCUUACCAAGGCAACGAUGCGUAGCCGACCUGAGAGGGUGAUCGGCCACACUGGAACUGAGACACGGUCCAGACUCCUACGGGAGGGAGCAGUAGGGAAUCUUCCGAAAUGGGCGAAAGCCUGACGGAGCAACGCCGCGUGAGUGAUGAAGGUCUUCGGAUCGUAAAACUCUGUUAUUAGGGAAGAACAAAUGUGUAAGUAACUAUGCACGUCUUGACGGUACCUAAUCAGAAAGCCACGGCUAACUACGUG